rnacentral:rRNA from 1 species
AGCAGUCGCCGCGGUAAUACGAAGGGGGCUAGCGUUGCUCGGAAUGACUGGGCGUAAAGGGCGCGUAGGCGGAUGGCACAGUCAGAUGUGAAAUUCCCGGGCUUAACCUGGGGGCUGCAUUUGAUACGUGUUGUCUAGAGUGAGGAAGAGGGUUGUGGAAUUCCCAGUGUAGAGGUGAAAUUCGUAGAUAUUGGGAAGAACACCGGUGGCGAAGGCGGCAACCUGGUCCUUGACUGACGCUGAGGCGCGAAAGCGUGGGGAGCAAACAGGAUUAGAUACCCCCGUAGUCCCUGUCUCUUAUAC